rnacentral:sRNA from 1 species
GGACAUUGUGAAUGUCCUGGUGUCUGACCUUAACCGUUCCAGUGCGGUAGCGCUCCCCACAUUGGACAAGUGGAAGAAGACUAGUGUCUCCCUUCUGAACUGUGGCCUUCUGUGCACCAAGCUCAAUGGCUCUUCCCCCACCAAAACUCCUAAGAGAAGUCAUCCCUCCCCAAAAGGACCCCCACGAGAUGUUCUGGCCCUCUGCUGACUUCUCCCUGGAAUCAGCACCUCAAGGACUGUUUGAGAAUGCUGCAGUCUCCACUGGUCACCUUCAGACUCUGUUUCCCUGCUGCCAACUCUUCUCUUCUGCCCUGUGUAUUCCGCCGAUGCCCCUGAGGACUGGGACCUGUGCCUGGCUGUGAGGAGCAUCUGUGGCUUGGCGAUCCAGCUGCUGGGGUGAUCAUGGGCUUCCCUCCCCUCAGCAGGGCCGGAGUUCCUGUCCCAGAGACUGGACAACUGGCUGUUUCUGUGACAUGUUUAUUUUUACUUGUGUUUCAUGUCACUUUUUUGAAAAAAAGCAAACAGAACAAUUGUAAGUCAGUAUAGCUGCCUGUCAGUUUUCCUUAUUUCUCUUUUUGUAAAAUAAAAUUAAAACUCC